AUACCUUUCUCGGCCUUUUGGCUAAGAUCAAGUGUAGUAUCUGUUCUUAUCAGUUUAAUAUCUGAUAUGUGGGCCAUCGGCCCACUUGAUAUUAAUCUUAUUUUUUAUGGGGAAAGACCCAUCACAAUAGCUUGCUAUUGGGGUCUUUGAGCAUCGCCUUGGUUUUGCACUACUGCCUUGGCCUGGCGCACCCCUC
rnacentral:snRNA from 1 species